rnacentral:lncRNA from 1 species
GAGGAGAGGUUUGCGACCACAGUCAAUCGAAAUUUCCUCUGUUUGAUUUGCUUCAACGUUUUAAGAGAGCCCGUCCUGUGUCCGAGAAACCAUCAUUGUUUCUGUCGUUCUUGUAUUACGAAACAUCUCGAGAAUUCACGAAGAUGCCCUACGUGUGCGGACGAACUGACCGUAGAGACUUUGGCCGAACCACAAAGAAUGGUGAAAUAUAUGUUAAAUGAAUUAAACAUUCAUUGCAUUUACAUCGACAGAGGUUGCCAAGAGAUCCUACAACUGCAACAUCUUGACAGCCAUGAGGCUACAUGUGGAUUUACACCAGCCGUUUGUACAAAUCAAGGCUGUGGUGCAACUUUAAACCAGCGUGAUCUUAUUCACCAUCAAAGUGAACUAUGUGAAUUUCGAAAGUUGAAGUGUCAUUCGUGCGGAGAAAUGACAAAAACUUUGGCGAGUAUGGAGAAAAGAAUCGCGAAUGUCGAGAAGAAUGUGACUUCUAUGGGAACCAAAAUAACAAAUAUAGAGAAGAAUAUGGAGAGAAAUGCGGCAGAUAUGGAAGGAAAACUCGAAGCAGUAAAUAAUGAAGUGAGAGGAUUGAAAACAGCUUUGAUUGAAGGUUUUGAUGAAAUGAAGGAUGUUCUUGUCAAGAUGGAGGACAAGAUAGAAGAAAACACAAGAAAAGUAAGAAAUACAGCAAGUGGUGAUAAGGAAAAUAUAAUUGUUGCUGGAGGUUUUGGAACUAACUCUGUAGAGAUGUUUAACUGGCGUCAAAGAACAUGGUCGCCAUUACAAUCCUUGCCAAAGAACCGUUGUGGAGCAACUUCAUUUGUUUACACCAAUCAUGUGACAAUUGCUGGAGGUUCUGGCUGUGUCGGUGAUAUGAUUAGAAUGAAUAUCAACCCAAACCCUGAUCUCUCAAUGCACUGGAGUGACUGUCCUGUUAAACUACCUGCUAAGUUGGCAUACCACAGCAGUGUGCUGUAUAAUGAUCACUUCAUAGUCACUGGUGGGCUUAAUGGAAAUGCAGCAUCUGACUGUAUUCAUGAAGUUCAGCUGGUUCCUCCAUAUACUGUGAAGACCUUAUCAAGAAUGCC